UACGUAGGGACCAAGCGUUGUCCGGAAUCACUGGCGUAAAGCGCGUGUAGGUGGAAGAGGAAGUCUGCUGUGAAAGCGCCUGGCUUAACCGGGCGAGGUCGGUGGGAACUCCUCAUCUGGAGGGCGGGUAGAGGGGGGUGGAAUUCCGGGUGUAGUGGUGAAAUGCGUAGAGAUCCGGAGGAACACCUGUGGCGAAGGCGGCCCCCUGGG
rnacentral:rRNA from 1 species